rnacentral:rRNA from 1 species
UGGGGAAUUUUGGACAAUGGGCGAAAGCCUGAUCCAGCAAUGCCGCGUGCAGGAUGAAGGCCCUCGGGUUGUAAACUGCUUUUGUACGGAACGAAAAGCCUGGGGCUAAUAUCCCCGGGUCAUGACGGUACCGUAAGAAUAAGCACCGGCUAACUACGUGCCAGCAGCCGCGGUAAUACGUAGGGUGCAAGCGUUAAUCGGAAUUACUGGGCGUAAAGCGUGCGCAGGCGGUUUUGUAAGACAGUGGUGAAAUCCCCGGGCUCAACCUGGGAACUGCCAUUGUGACUGCAAGGCUAGAGUGCGGCAGAGGGGGAUGGAAUUCCGCGUGUAGCAGUGAAAUGCGUAGAUAUGCGGAGGAACACCGAUGGCGAAGGCAAUCCCCUGGGCCUGCACUGACGCUCAUGCACGAAAGCGUGGGGAGCAAACAGGAUUAGAUACCCUGGUAGUCCACGCCCUAAACGAUGUCAACUGGUUGUUGGGUCUUAACUGACUCAGUAACGAAGCUAACGCGUGAAGU